CCUGGGAGUGAAGAAAACAGAGAGGCACCAGUGUUACUGAGGCCUCAGGAUGACAGGUGACACAGACAGAGGGACAAAAAUCCAACCAAAGCCGACGCUUUUCCUCACGGUCCUUUAGACUGUCUGCGGUUCUUCGUGAGUGAAGAUGGCCUACAGAUCACGCACACAUAAACAGUUCCACCAUAAUCAACACCAAACUUACGGGAAAGCCAGGAGCAAUCAGUUUCAUUUAACAGCUGGAGCAAAGAUGGCAGCGAUGAGGGAACCUGUCAGAGCCUGGGCCUGCUGCCCAGAGAGAGCUCCUGCCAGGGAGGGGUCCACCAUGGACCCUGACGCUGCCCACUCUGCAGGUCAGUUAUGCAGGUCGGCUCACCUGUGUGUCACGAGAACAACAGUCUAACAGUGACGAACGCACCAGGAGAUGAGUGUUCUCCUAAGCAAGGACUAAGGACCACUAAGCCUAAGGACCCAAAACAGAAGAUGCCAAACCCUCAGUAAAGGUAGGCUGCAGACUAAGUAUAUACUCUCCAUUUUGAAAUCUCAUGAAACAGAUUAGAUUCCUUUCACGAUAAGCCAGCCACGACUAACUUUGAUUACGUCAUCAUCAGGCACAAAAACACCAAGUCCUUUACUUACCAGGGGCAGGUUUUUCCCAGGAACAUUGGGGAAGUCGUGGUGUUCGUUGUGAUAGCCCACAUUGAAGGUGAGUAAGUUCAGAGGCCCAUAGUAGGAGUAUGUUUCGUGUCCCUUUAGGAACAUGUAAUGUUCGGCUAUGAAAUGCCCCGAAAUUGGGUGCAAGCCCAGGCCGAGCAGGGAGGCUGCCAACAUGUACACUAGAGACUUCACUCCAAAAACAUAGUAGACGAGGACGUCAAAAGUGACCUGGAUCACAGUGUUGAUGACUUCCAGAUGGGUAAUUGGCUUGGGGUUGAUGAACAGGGGUCUAAACGCAUAGAAGAGAGGCUGAAGGAUAACCCAGACAAGCUUCCUGAGAGUGGUGCAGAAGAACCAGCCCUCGAAAUCAGUAGGGAUAUCCACAUCGAUGCCGUCCGCCCCGAGGUACCGGUGAUGAUCCAUGUGGUACCUCUUAAAGGAAAUCGAAUAUGGAACCCCGAGAGAGAGGUUCGCGAACAUUCCAAACCAGCGGUUCCACAUGGCCUUGUGGUGGCCAAAGGGGAAGUUGUGGGAAAUCUCAUGGAUAGCCAGAGUCAUGGAAUGGUUAAGGCAGCUGCCAAAGGCAUAGGACCAAAACAUGAGCCACUUCCAGUCCAAGUCUUUGACUAAGUAAAACGAAGCCAACUGGACGAGAAGCAUUGAGGUUACAAUCCAGAUCAGGUUAGGGUCGGGCUUCAUCAAGGAUUUUAUCUCUGGAUACUUCGCUGUAAGAAAAGAAAAUACAGGAAGUCAGAAAGGAACAAAAGCAUAGCACAGUUCAUCAACCAUAAUUAAUGUAGUUAGAUUAAUGCAAUUAGAUUUUCCCCUGUUCUAAGUCAUAAUACUCCCCCUUACAGACUUUAUAUUUAUUUCAUAAAGGAAAGGAAUAUGUCCUGGUAAUAAAGUCAUAACAAUUUAUGUAAAAAAAACUAAUCUGGACAUUCCACAUUCUUUUAUAUUGAAAUAAUUAUAUUUAUGUUUAGACCAAGCCUGCACAUAUUUUUAUAAGAUUCAUUUAUAUAUAUAUGUAUAUAUAUAUAUUUAUGUUUGAGUGUUCUGUCCGCGUGUACGCUUGUAAGCAUGUGGUGCUUUGGUGCCUGCAGGGAUGAGGAGGGACUCGAAUCCCCCUAGAGCUAGUUACAAUUAGAUGUGAGCACCACGCACCACUGGGAACUGGACCUGUGUCCCCUGCUCCUGUGCUCCCAACCACGGAGCUGUCUUUAUAACCCCAGCUCUGGGGAACAUAACAUUUGCUUUCUAGGAUCUCUAAACCAUGAGCCCAAUGGUUCUCUCAGACCAAUCAGCUGAGACUACAUAGCAAGAUCCUGUCUCAAAAAAGGAAACAAAGCAAAACAAACUUCCCAAACCCAAUAGCUCCAGGGCCUCUUACAACCAGAGAGGACAGAGCUGAAACGAGAGCUUAGCCACACGAGCAGUCAAGUUGGACCUCUUCCCUACAAAAUUAUAGAGAAAAGGGAAAGGAAAAUUGAACCGCAUGGAAAUCUUUGCUGUAACAACAUCAUCAGAAAGAGCACGGACUAUUUAACCAACAGGCAGGCACGCUCACAAAGCACCUGUUUUGUAAGGGAAUCAUAUCUAGAAUAUGUAAAGAAUGCUUAAAACUCUUACAACUAAUAACCCAAUUUUUAAAGGCAAAAAAUUCUAAUGAAAAGAUAUAUUAAUGGUCCCCCUCCCUCAAAAAAGCACAUGAAAUAUACUCUCCCGAUGUUACUGGUCAUUAGGAAAAUAGAAAUAGAAACCACUAAAACUGUUGGAAUUUAAAAAGACAGUUGUAGCUCAAUGGUAGGGCACUUGACUGGAAUGUCUGGAGAUCAGGAGAGUAGUGGGUAAAAGACUCCUGACAACCUGAGAUUAAUCCCGACUCCAUAGAAACCGUACAACAUGAUGGUGCAUGUUGCAGUCCCAGCAGUAUGUUGGCAAGGGAAGAUCUGACACAGAAGACUGCUCCAGGAGCUAGGAAGCUUUUGGGCCAGCCGUGCCCAGCAGAGGCAGAAGCAAGGCAGAACAGGGUGGAAGGAGGGUCACAUGCACUCCUGGGAGCACACUCACGCCCACACGCCCAAAGGCAGGUAACAACUAGGUUCUGGAGAAACCAGAAUCUUCAUACACUGCUGAUGAGUAUGUGAGAUGGUUUGGACUGUCUGACAUUCGACCAAAAUGCUUGACAGGGAACUGCCAUCGAUCCCCAAAUAAAAACGAACCCACGCCCUGUACGUGAACGUUCAAAGGAACACUAUUAAAAACAGCUGGAAGGGGGGUUGGGGAUUUAGCUCAGUGGUAGAGCGCUUGCCUAGGAAGCACAAGGCCCUGGUUUCGGUCCCCAGCUCCGAAAAAAAAGAACCAAAAAAAAAAAAAACAAAAAACAAAAAAAAACAGCUGGAAGGGGGUGUCAGCUCAAAUGUCCAUCAAACGACUAUGAAGUAAAGUGUGGAAUCACCAUACAAUGGAGUAUUAAAGGCUUGGACCACAGCAGAUUGCUCUGGUCACAGUGAGGACCCUGAAGGUUCCAGCCCUAUCAACAUAUUAAUCUUUUAAAGGACUCACAAAAUAAAAGGCAUAGAAGGUGGUGAGCACUGGAGGCAGACCACAAAGGACAUUUCCUCCUGCUCUCUUUCUGCUUCCAGGCUGACAUGAGGGGAUCAGCCUUUUCCCUUCAAACCCGCUCCGCAAUGAUUUCAUUAGAGCCCCCCACAUACCCAAAAGCAAUAGCACCAGUGGGCACCAUCACCAAAGCCAUCAGCCAAAGUCACUCCUCCCUUGAGCUGUAGGCACUUAUCACAGCAAUGACUAACAAAACGAUAAUCACCUUUCCAACCUAGCUAGUUACUCAAUUUAAGUUCCAGGGCAGGAGCCAGGGGUGCAGUUCAAUGGUAGAGAACUUGCUAGCACCAGGAAUCCCCUGAGAGUGAACUCCACAGCUAGGAAAAUGAAGUCCAUUUGAACUGCAAACAGUCAUUCUGAUAUGCGAAACAAGAGUCUAAGUUUAGCAACUACUGCAGAAAUCAGGGCCUCGCUGCCGACUCCCCCACCAGGCAAAUAUUUUCAAGAGUUUGAAAAUGGUGGCUAUGAGACAAUUCCUCAUAUUCAAUGGCUUUCAUUGAUUCCCUACGUUUAAACACACACACACAGACUCAGACACACACAGAGCAAAUGUUAAAAACAAAUGAAGCAAAAACUUUCUAUAUCUAGCACCAAGCUUAAAAAAAAAAGGGCAUCUUCUUCGGCUGCAAUUUAAUUAUGAAGAUGUUGGAAUCUUCUUUAUAAACAUACUUCAUCUUUUAAGAUGCCGCCCCAGGCAAAGUCGAACUGGGUAAUAUAUGCAAAGAUCUCAACCCAACAAUUUGUCCUUAUUCUUAAGAGCAGCCUGCGUGGGAUGAGAGACCUCUCUAAUCUUACGUGGAAUCCUCUGAUAGUCUCCUAAAUCAUGCCUACGCAGUCCUAACGUCCGGGAGGCUAACCUGCGCGCCUUUCCUAUCGGGCCGGUCCCUCAGAUCACUGGAAUAAGAACUCACAGGAGCCAUCCGAUCAGGGAAGUCUAGGGUCACCGGGACCUGGUCCCCCGCUAGGCCUGCGGCUGACUGGACCACGUGAUGGAGGCUCCCGGGGCCCGGGAUGCCCUAGACCACGCCCUGAGCCAAGCAGGCGUCUGGACUCAAGCCCACCCCUCCGCCCCGAGCCGGGCACCCUCAACUGUCGAGCCAGGAGGAGCGAGUCCGGGUCGUCCUACCGAAGGACCCUCAGGACACAGGCUGGCGGAGGCCGCCAGCGCCAGACCAUCGAAGGGUCAGCGGCGAGCGGGAGCGCGCAGGCCCCCCAUCCCUCGCUCCUCCGGUUCGCCCAGAGCCCGCCCGGAGCCCGCCCGCCCAGUUGCCGCCGCCUCUCCCGGGCGGGCCGCCAAGCAGCCGAGCGGCUGGAAGGGGCCGCGGAGGCCGCGCUUACACAGCGCGCGCGGGAGGCCUCGCAGGGCCCGCACACGGCCGCGCGCACAUAACGGGGCGCUGGUCUUCACCUAAGAUCUCCUGGCGCCGGGCGGCGUGGGGCUGGUCCGUGUAGACCCAUUCGAACUCCUCUCGGGACACGCGGUUCCCCAUGGCUGCGGCGUGCGGACCAGCUCUGCCUCCGGCUCGCGUUCGGGCGGCGGCAGCUAGUUAUCCGGCUCGUGUCGGUCAGCCGUGGGGACGCGGGCGAAGGCGGAGCCUCAUGAGGUCACGCCUCUCGACGACCACGCCCCUCCCGGGAAGCUAUGGGCGGGACCUGGAUUCCGCCGCCAAGAACCUUGCGGGCUCAAGAAGCCUGGGAAAAGCGAUCAAAAGGUGGCUUCAUCCCAGUGCAAGUGGUUAAACACCUCGCAGCAGGGAAACACCUCUACUCUAUCCUCAUAUGACUCGCAGCCAAGAAUAGCUUGAAUCCAGCUGAAGUGGGAGUCUUGAAAGCUUAUUGGAAUGCCUGCCCUUCUGCGACAUAGGGCAGGAAAACCCAGAGGAAUAGACCUGAGAACCACCAGGCACAAGGGCAAACGACCUGGGGUCGUGUGGGAAAGGUAGCUUUACUGCCUUUGUCACGGAUGUUGUAUUCGUAAACCUUUCAGUGUAAGAGAUGCUACAGGUGAAUCUGGUUCUAAGUGGAAAAGUUUAUUUUGACUCAUGGGUCCAUCAGUUUUCAGUCAUUCUUCCUUGAUCUGUUGAAGCACAGUGUGUAAAAUGGUGGGAACACAUCACAGAGGAGACCAUGUCGUGAUGGCCAGCAAGGAGGGAGAGACAGAGAAGAGAUAGAGAGGCAGAGAGAAGAGACACACAGAGAGGAGACAGAGAGAGACAGAGAGAGAAGAGACGGAGAAGAGAUAGAGAGGCAGAGAGAAGAGACAGAAAGAGAGACAGAGAGACAGAGAGGAGACAGAGAGACAGAGAGAGAGGAGACAGAGAGGAGACAGAGAGAGAGGAGACAGAGAAGAGACAGAAGAGACACAAAGAAGAGAUAGAGAGACAGAAAGAAGAGACAGACACAGAGAGAGGAGACAGAGAGACAGAGAGAGAGGAGACAGAGAGAGAGAGGAGACAGAGAGAGAGGAGACAGAGAGAGAGGAGACAGAGAAGAGACAGAAGAGACACAAAGAAGAGAUAGAGAGGCAGAAAGAAGAGACAGAGAGACACAGAGAGAGGAGACAGAGAGAGGAAACAGAGAGAGAGAGGAGACAGAGAGAGAGAGAGAAGAGACAGACAGAGAGAGAAGAGACAGGAAGAGGAGAGAGAAAGAGAGAGAAGAGACAGACAGAAAGAAGAGACAGAGACAAGAGAUAGAGAAGAGACACAGAGAGACAGAGCAACAGAGAUUCUAAUAAUCCCUUCAAGGAUUUGCUUGAAAACUCAGUCUUUCAACUAGGCUGACAAUGCUCUGAUUCCUAAGGAGCUGAGGGCCAAGCUUUUGCCAACAAAUGGGCCUUUAGAAGAGAGUCAUUCAACCAUUCCAGACAAACUAACACCACAACACACUUUCAGAACGUCACUUCCAAAUGGAGGGCUGAGAAGCUCUGCGGACACCCACUCCCCUCUAUCCCAGUGCCCUCAGCAGGCUAGUACAGUACUGGGCAUGACUCUGGAAAUUUUUUUUUUUUUUUUGGUUCUUUUUUUCCGGAGCUGGGGACCGAACCCAGGGCCUUGCGCUUCCUAGGCAAGCGCUCUACCACUGAGCUAAAUCCCCACCCCUGACUCUGGAAAUUUGUAACAGGUGUCUUUGUGCACUCUUACAUAUCUUACUGGGGGAAAAGACGGCAUGCCGUGACCCCUGGCUGUGUAGAAAGGUUCCCUGAAUGCUUUGCUCUGUGCCAGGCAUUAAGCAUGUGUGCGCGUGUGUGUGCAUGGGCUGAGGUAAUGAGGGUUGAUGGCACUGAGUAUUGUUCCAGUCUGUGCAUUAUGAAGACUUCAAGCUCGACCUCUCUGACACCUCCAAAACCCUCAAUGCAGCUCCUUUUAGUCUCUCCAGGUUGGAAAUGCUUGUAUUUCAAAAUGCUGUCUAAUUUAUUCAGAGGAAGUCUUUUCAAAGAGUGGCUGGCGAAACUGUUCUUGGCUAUCAGGGAAAACAGCACAUACUGUUUAACCUGGACCAUCAAUAGAGAGUACAUCCAUGUUCUAAUGUGUACAUUAUACAGAUUAAAAAAAAAGAUACAAUGCCCUCAGAAUACAUAAAUAUUUAUCUCCGAAAAGCUGAAUCUCACCAAGGAGAGCAGCUGCCCCUGACAUCAGAGUCAACCCCCACUGGACACAACAGAUUCUGCACCCCAGGCAGAUGUGGUUCUGUUCCAUCAGGUCAACCUUCAUGCCCAUGCGCUCACUAUCCUGCUUCCCCACGGCAACCUCCGUCCUUUUCCUUCUUCUUUCUCUCCUCCUUGUUCCUUCCUGAGACCCCCAGCCUGGGGAGCUCCGCUCUGUCCUUUCUUCUGCCCAGCCCAGGCUGUGGCCAUCCGUAUUAACCAAUCAGGGACAACUUAAGAGGCAAGGUUAAUACAACAGAAGCUGGUGAACUUGACAAUUCGCCCUUCUUGGGACAACCAGAUCUUGAGAUACAGUACUUAGCAUCUGAAUUCAUAGCAGCACCAGACCAACCCCAAUCGUUGUUAGCCAAGAACUACAGUGCCCCCAGAGGGAUAGGCUGCCAGUGGGUCUGACCCCUUUAUGUGUGGUCCAUAUCACAGUGGCUAAAUGCCAGGAAGGUGGAGCCAAGCACUCAAGAGUUCCGCUCAUGGGUUGGGGAUUUAACUCAGUGGUAGAGCGCUUGCCUAGCAAGCGCAAGGCCCUGGGUUCGGUCCCCAGCUACGAAAAACAAACAAACAAACAAACAAACAAACAAACAAACAAAGAGUUCCACUCAGGCUUCCAUCCCUGGUUCAGUGGAGGCUCCACACCAGUAAUGGUGGACUAGGAACACUCAGAUUCAUCUUCUCACUCUGUUGUCUUGCAGGAAUGGAGUCCAUGAUGGAAAACGUAGUGAGCAGGCCAGAGCUCAGCCUCUCACGGCUGAUGAAAUAGGAAUGUCCUUCAGAAAGGAAGUAGUCCCUGCUCUUGCUUUUAGGUUCAGGGCAAGGGGUCAGAGUUUUCCCCAUGAGAAGAGGCAGAUCAUGCACCCAGAGGGGCUCCGAGGCACAUCCUAAGAAACGUAUUCAUUCUCAGAUAGCAUGUAGGGAAUUCUAGUAUUCUAAGGAUAUAUGCAAAAGACUGUAGAUGUCAGUGGUUAUUCUCUACGAUGUUUCGACAAAAGCGUCAGAGAUAGUAAAUAAAGCCAAGGAAAAGGGCACUCAGUUAAACAUCUGUGAUCACAUUUGGAACCUCUGUAACCAUCUGUGAUUACAUGUAGCCAUUUGGAACCUCUGGGAAAGUGUUUACCUCUUGGCGAUUCUCAAGCACAUAUUGUUUUCCUGGCAGCUCUGUUUUGCUUUCCUUCACAGAGUCAGGACAGAGAUUUUGAAGAAAACUUUUAUAUAAACGGACUUGAGUCUGGACCAGGCAGGCUAAAUUUCACCUCCAGAGCCAGCCUUUUUAGUAGAGUAGAACAACAUGAAACCUUUUAAAAAUAGUAUUCAUACGCUAGCUAGCUUAGUUUGGAUUUUACUGUUGUCAACAGGCACCAUGACCAAGGCAACUCUUAUAAGGACAAUGUUUAAUUGGGGCUGGUUUACAAGUUCACUUCAUUAUCAUCAAGGUGGGAGCCUGGCAGUGUCCAGGCAGGCGUGAUGCAGGAGUUGAGAGUGCUAUACCUGAAGGCUACUACUAGGAGAAGACUGUUUUCAGGAAACUAGGAAGAGGGUCUCUAAGCCCACCUCCACAAUAACACACUUCCACUAACAAGGCCAGACCCACUCCAACAAGGCCACACCUACUCCAACAAGGCCACACCCACUUCAACAAGGCCACACCCACCCCAACAAGGCCACAAGCAUAUUCAAACCACCAUAUUCCACCCACUGGCCCCUAUAAGGUUGUUCAAACACAUGAGCCUAUGGGAAUCAUACCUAGCCUUAGCAUAAUGCUAAAAUAUUUAGUCCAACUUCAAAAGUCCCCAUAGACUAUACCAGUCUCAACAAUGUUAAAAGCCCAAAGUUCAAAGUCUCUUCUGAGAUUCAUCCACUUAUUUAACUUUAAUCUCUAAAGCAAGACAGAAAAUCACUGGGCAAACUCCAAACUCUGCGUCUCCAUGUCUGCUGUCAAAGCCGUCUUCAGAUCUCCAGCACCUUUUUCAUCUGUGUUGACUGCACCAGACUUCUUUCUCCUGAGCUGGUUCCUGUCUCUGUUAGCAGCUUUCCUUGACAGGUAUCCUACAGCUCUGACAUCCUUAACAUCUUGGGGUCCCCAAGUCAGCUUCUUGUUCUAAUGACUGGGAUCCAAACAUUAUCUUCUGGGCUCUCCCAAAGGGCCUGAGUCACAUUUCCAGCUCUGUCUUCUGUAGGCUCUGGUUGGCUCCACUCCACUUGCGGGCUCAUCCAUGGUACUCACAUCUCUAAUACUCUGGGGUCUUCUGCUGCAACUAGGCUUCACCAAUAGCCUCUCGUAGGCUCUCUUCAUGGUGUGAAGCCUCAACUUCUUUUCACGACCCCUUCACUCCUGGGCCUUCAACUGUAACUGGGGCAGCACCUUUACCAAUGGCCUUCCAAGGCCUCUCACAGCGCCCAGCCUCAGCUGCUCUUCAUGACACCUUCAUGCCUUCAAAACCAGUACCACCUGGGUGACUCUUACAUGUUACCGAGUCCAGCUGCAGCAUGAGGUACAACCCUGGCUAUCUCUGGAACAUAGCUUCUUUGUGCUUUCAGAUAACACUUCCUAGAAGAUUUUACCUCAGUGAUUCCUGUCUCUUCCUAAGCACCACAAAUUUCUUAGCUCCAAUUAACCUGCAUCAAUUGUCCCACUAGUCCCUUAUAUUCAUGACUCUAAAGGCAGAGUUACCUGUCCAAAGCUGCUGGGUUCUGCUGCUUGUUUGAGCUAGAAUACGGCUCUGUUCUCGUACAUUAUCACCAGCUUUCUGUUUUCCAACUCCUUCCCUGACUACAUUUGGCUGUUCUUGAACUUCCUCUGUGGGUUGACUUUGAACUCAGAGAUCUGCAUGGCUGUGUCUCCUGAAUUCUGGGGUUAAAAGCAUGUACCAUCAUGUCCUGACUUAAGCUUUUAUUCAAUUAGAACUUUCUCUGUGCCUGGAUGGCCUUGAAUUCAGAGAUCUGCUUGCCUUUGUCUCCUGGUAUUAAAGGUGUGUACCACCAAGUUUGGGCCGAAGCUUUUCAUGGCCACUAUUCCUCAAGGUCUGGAUCAACAAUAUGUGUCUUCCAACCUCAAGAUCUGGGUCACAAGUAUGUUCUCCAUUUCUGGAUUGUAGUUUAUUUCAGAUUAAACGUCCAAAUGAAAACAAUAACCAGUAAUAACUCCUAGAUAUAACUAUCCCUUGUUCCACUGCAAAAGCAUAAAAAUAAGCCUAGCUGGGUGAGAUCUUGCCUGGAGGUCACCACUCCCUUAAUCUGUUUAUCUCCUUGAACACAGGAUUCAGCUUAAUACUUGAACCACAUGUUUUGUAUUUUUCCUUUCUCAGCUUGUUCCUUUUCAUUAAAACACUCUUUAUAAGAGUGAGCUUUAGCAAUCAUACACCAGAAUUUAUACUAGGCUGUUUUGAGACUUCUUUAUCAAAGCAAUUAAUCUAAAUCUCUUCAUCUUAACCUCAGGCACACUCUUCAGACAAUGGCAAAAAGCAGCCAUAUUCUUUACCAAAAUAUCACAAAAACAGUCUCUAGACCACAUACUAAUAUUUUUCUCCACUGAAACCUCUUAGCCAGGUCUACACAGUUCAAAUCACUCUCAGCAACAAAGUCUUCCAUAUUCCUACUGGGGGGGGGGUUCAUUAAGUCCCACUUAAAGCAUUCCACUGCUUUCCAAAUGCAAAGUCCCAAAAUUGAAAUUCCUCCAAACAAAAAUAUGGUCAGACCUUUCUCAAUAAUACCCCACUCCUGGUACCAACUUGUAUCUUAGUUUGGGUUUUACUGUUGUCAACAAGCACCAUGACCAAGGCAGCUAGUAUAAGGACAGUUAGGGCUUACAGGUUCAGAGGUUCAGUCCAUUAUCAUAGAGGUAGGAACAUGGUAGUGUCCAGGCAGGCUUGGUACAGGAGGAGCUGAGAGUUCUACAUCUUCAUCUGAAGGCCAGUAGGAGAAGACUGUUUCCAGGAAACUAAGAGGAAGGUCUCUAAGCCCAUGCCCACAGUAAUACGCUUCCUCUAACAAGGCCACAUCUUCUAAUAGUGCUACUCCUUGGGCCAAGCAUAUUCAAAUUACCACACAUACAAAAGACAUUUGAGUCUCCAUAAGGCUGAACCCAGAGAUCUACAUAUCCAUAACCCAGUUUGUGCAGAUCUGCAGAUAGGGGCAGACAAUCCAAAAGGCUUAAUACUUUUUCUUUUAGGAAUGGUAAAGAUAUAAGCAGGAUUUUCAAGGCUUGGAGAUAUAGAAACAAGGGCAGGUGAAAGGUACAAGGUAAAAGAGUCUCAUCAUAUCUCAGGAAUUAUAAAGAUACAAGUUUUGAGGCCCAGCAGAAACAGUGAGCAUUAUACCUCUGACCAUGGUACAAGUCAGAAGGAUGAAAGUUAACUGGAAGUUUUAUAGUUUUGAAAGACCCCAGCUUAGCAGCAGUAACGCCAUUUUGCAAGGCUGUACUUAAGAUGACUGGUUCAGGGAAAGGUUAGAACACUGAGUACACAGCGGCUGCCAAGCAGGAUGUGUUUGGUUGAAGGCCUGGCAACAGGACGACUGCAGUUGAGCACCUGACAAUGAGAAAAGCCCCGGGAGAGGUCCCACACCCUGGUGGGGGGCCGAGUCAGUUAUGUUCCAAGAAGGUAGCUAAGAAACUUGCCCCCGGGCUGAACCCUUGGGGGGCCGAGUCAGCCGUUAUGUUUCAGGAAGGUAGCUAGGAAACUUGCCCCCGGGCUAAACCCUUGCCAUAUUAGAAUCUACCAAUUAUAUCCCUGUAACCAUGCAUCUGCUUCUGUAUGCUUGCUUCUGCUCCCCAAAAUCCUAUAAAAGCCCAUCCUUGGUUCCGUGGGGCGCGCCAGUCCCCCGAGUGACUGUAGCGCCCGCAGGUGCCUGUGCCUGUGUAUCCCGACAAUAAACCAAAUCCUCUUGCUGAUUGCAUCCUGUGGUGUCUCGGUCUGGUCUUUGGAGUUAGAGGGUCUCCAUCCCGAGGGAAAGUUCUCCCUGAGAGCUUUUCAUUUGGUGCAUUGGCCGGGAAAGGAGAUCCUCCACCCAGGGACCACCGACCACCCACUGGGAGGUAAGCCGGCCGGCGUCUGUCUGAUUCUGUCUCGUUCUGCCUUAUUCUGUCUGUUCUGUGAGCGCUCAGCCAGGUCUGUUCUGUGAGCGCUCAGCCAGGUCUGUUCUGUGAGCGCUCAGCCAGGUCUGUUCUGUGAGCGCUCAGCCAGGUUGUUUGGAAUUUGGGCGGGACGAAGAAGGAGCUGACGAGCUCGGACUUCUCGCCCCGCAGCCCUGGAAGACGUUCCAAGGGUGUUAGGGGCCCGACUUUUCGGGGCCCAAUCUGGGAGAGGAGAAAGAUCCGGACUAACGGCACCUCUGUCUGUAUUUUUGGCUUUCAGAGGGCCCCGGACCUUUGCCACCUCCAUCUGACUUUUUGCUUUCAGUUUGGUACCAAAGCCGUGCAGCACGCCUGUCUGUUGUUUGUUUGACUGUUGGUGUUGUUUGUUUUCUCUGUGUUCUAAUCUUCCUUAGAACUAACAUGGGACAGUCCCUAACAAUGCCCCUAAGUCUCACUCUUGAUCAUUAGAAAGACGUCCACGACCGGGCACACAACCAGUCCGUCGAGGUUAAAAAAGGAAAAUGGGGGGCUGGGGAUUUAGCUCAGAGGUAGAGCGCUUACCUAGGAAGCGCAAGGCCCUGGGUUCGAUCCCCAGCUCCGAAAAAAAGAACCAAAAAAAAAAAAAAAAAAAAAAAAAAGGAAAAUGACAGACUCUCUACACAUCCGAGUGGCCCACUUUCGGAGCGGGAUGGCCAGUGAAUGACACAUUUAAUAAGAUCAUUAUUUUACAGGUUAAAGAUCGGGCCGUCCACGGACAUCCUGACCAGGUUUCUUAUAUUAUCACUUGAGAGAGUCUCGCCUUAAACCCCCCCCCCCCCGGGCGGAACCCUUCGUGGACCCGAAUUGGCCUCCCCUCAACCCCCAGCCUGCCCCCUCGGCCCCGCCCGGUCUGCCAGCCACGUCUUCCUCUCUCUACCUUUGUGAAAUCAGAGCCUUCUAAGAAACCUGUCCUCCCGGCAGACCCAAACUCCCCUCUCAUAGAUCUUCUCUCUGACAGGCCCGGCUAAAACGGAGGAGGCAGAGCCGCCGGCCAGAUCAGUUGCCGGGCCACAGUCUGAUAAGGGUUUCUCCCCUGUCGCAGGGAGAUUGCGCAAUAAGCGCGAGGUGAUGCCAGAUUCAACCUCCCAGGCUUUCCCACUUAGACAGGGAACCGGUGGCCAGACCCAAUACUGGCCGUUUUCAGCAGCUGACAUUUACAAUUGGAAACAACACAACCCUUCUUUCUCCAAAGAUCCGGUGGCAUUCACCGUCCUAAUAGAAUCUGUUUUACUUACCCACCAGCCUACUUGGGAUGACUGCCAACAGCUCUUACAGGCCCUCUUAACCUCAGAAAAAAAAAACAAGGAGUGUUCCUAGAGGCUAGAAAGCAUGUUCUGGGAGAUGAUGGGCAUCCCACCCAGCUGCCUGAAAAAAUUGAUGCUACAUUCCCACUUAAGAGACCAAACUGGGAUUUUAAUACAGCUGAAGGUAAGGGACACCUACGCCUUUAUCGCCAGUUGCUUCUAGCGGGUCUCCGAGGGGCUAUGACGCCCUACUAAUUUGGCUCAGGUAAAACAGGUAUUACAGGAAGCAGGGGAAACUCCCUCCGCCUUUCUAGAGAGACUUAAGGAGGCCUACCGUAUGUACACUCCCUAUGACCCAGAUGACCCAGGACAAAUGACGAGUGUCUCUAUGUCCUUCAUCUGGCAGGCUGCUCCAGAUAUCAGGACUAAGUUACAGAGGUUAGAAAAUUUACAGGGCUAUACAUUACAGGAUUUACUUAAAGAAGCUGAAAAGAUUUUUAAUAAGAGAGAGAAUUGAGUCGAAUCUUGGCCGCCGUAGUUCAGGACCAAGAAAGGAAGGGAGAUAGGGGGGAGCUCGAAAGGGGCUGAAGCUGGAUAAAGAUCAAUGUGCCUAUUACAAAGAGAAAGGGCACUGGGCCAGAGAGUGCCCCAAGAAGCCUGGCGGACCCCGAAAGCCUCGACCACGAACCUCCCUCUUGGCUCUAGAUAAAGAUUAGGGAAUUCAGGGCCAGGAGCCCCCCCCCCCCGAGCCCAGGGUAACGCUUAAAGUUGGGGGGCAGCCGGUUACUUUCCUGGUAGACACAGGACCCCAGCAUUCAGUCCUCACCCAAGCUUCAGGACAACUCAGCGACCGGACGGCCUGGGUACAAAGAGCUACUGGUGAGAAACAAUACCGAUGGACUAUGGACCGCCGGGUUCAGCUGGCUACCGGUAAGGUGACCCAUUCCUUCUUACAUGUUCCGGACUGCCCGUACCCUCUGCUGGGCCGUGACCUGCUCACCAAACUAAAAGCACAAAUUCAUUUUGAGGAAAGAGGGGCCCGAAUAACUGGCCCCCACGGAACUCCCCUUCAAGUUCUAUGAAUAUAGACUAUAUGAACUGGGACAGGACAAGCCACAAUCCCUAGAAAUAGACACUUGGGUCACGAAUUUUCCACUGGCUUGGGCAGAGACUGGUGGGAUGGGGUUGGCGCUCCAACAGCCCCCCUUAAUUACAACUCCAGUCUCCAUAAAACAAUACCCCCUGUCACAUGAAGCUUAUCAAGGUAUAAGGCCUCACAUUACGAGGCUUCUAGAUCAAGGCAUCCUAGUCCCCUGCCGGUCGCCUUAGAAUACGCCUCUUCUGCCUGUUAAGAAACCCGGCACUGGAGCUUAUAGGCCAAUACAAGACUUGAGAAAGGUCAACAAGAGGAUAGAAGAUAUUCAUCUGACUGUUCCAAACCCUUACAAUUUGCUCAGUAACUGUUCAUCGAUGAGAAACAGGGGUAUGCUAAAGGGGUCCUAAAACAAAGGUUGGGACCCUGGAAACGCCCUGUGGCCUACCUGUCUAAGAAAUUGGACCCUGUGGCCUCCGGCUGGCCACCGUGCCUAAGGAUGGUGGCUGCUAUUGCUGUCCUGAUCAAGGACACUGAAAAAUUGACUUUGGGACAGCCACUCACCAUCCUAACACCCCACGCAGUGGAGGCCUUGGUAAAGCAGCCCCCAGACCGCUGGCUCUCUAAUUCCCACAUGACCCACUACCAAGCCUUGUUACUGGAUGCAGAACAGGUUCAGUUUGGGCCCGUAGUCGCCCUCAAUCCUGCCACCUUGCUUCCUCUACCAGCGGAGACAAAACAGCAUGACUGCCUACAAAUCCUCGCAGAAGUACAUGGAACCAGGCCGGACCUAUCGGACCAGCCUCUUCAGAAUGCUGACCACACAUGGUACACGGAUGACAACAGCUUCUUGGCAGAGGGAGAGCGAAAGGCUAGAGCUGCGGUCACUACGGAGGACAAAGUGAUUUGGGCGAAAGCCCUGCCUGCUGGUACCUCCGCACAACGGGCUGAACUCAUCGCCUUGACUCAGGCGCUCAAGAUGGCAAAAGGUAAGAGGCUAAAUAUAUAUACAGACAGCCGUUAUGCCUUUGCCACGGCACACAUCCACAGGGAGAUCUACCGGAGGCGGGGGCUGCUCACAUCUGAGGGUAAAGAUAUGGCUAAAAUUCUGGCCCUCUUAGAAGCCCUAUUCUUGCCCAAAAGACUGAGUAUUAUACAUUGUCCAGGACACCAAAAAGGGCACAACCCAGAGGCACGAAGAAACCGGCUGGCCGAUGCCACGGCGCGAGAAGCGGCCAUGAACAAACAAAUCUUGCCCUUAAAUAGCCCAGACCAACCCACGCCCCCACCAGUGGGACAAACUAGUUGGGUUUAUGCCCAUGAGGACAUAGAGCUCCUAAAAAAAUGGGGGCCAUCUACCACCCUCAACUAAAACAGUGGGUCUACAAAGGACUUUUGAAUUGAUCUCCUUUUUACAUAAGAAGAUAAAAACCUUACUAGAUCGAGAAGAGAUAAAUCUGUGUUUUUUUUUAAUUGGGACAAAGCGAUACAAAAGGUGACUGAGAGUUACAAAGCGUGCGCUCAGGUUAACCCGGAAAGGACCAUGAUUGGACAAGGAGUUCGUCCUAGGGGACACCGUCCCGACAUCCAUUGAGAAAUUGAUUUUACUGAAAUUAAACCAGGUAUAUAUGGAUACAAGUAUCUCCUAGUGUUUGUAGACACCUUCUCAGGAUGGGUCGAAGCCUUCCCCACAAAACACGAGACUACAAAAAUGGUCACCAAGAAGCUCCUCGAGGAAAUCUUUCCCAGGUAUGACAUGCCUCAAGCGUUGGGGUCAGACAACGGGCCCGCUUUCGUCUCCCAAGUAAGUCAGUUGGUGGCCAAAUUGCUGGGGAUUGAUUGGAAAUUACAUUGUGCCUAUAGACCCCAGAGUUCAGGUCAGGUAGAACACAUAAAUAGAACAAUUAAAGAGACUUUAUCCAAACUUACGCUUACAACUGGCUCAAAGGAUUGGGUGGCCCUCCUUCCCCUAGUUCUAUAUCGGGCCCGGAAUACCCCGGGCCCCCAUGGUCUAACUCUUUUUAAAAUAAUAUAUGGAACACCACCCCCAUUUGUUCAUUUCUUUGAUUCAAACAUUGCUGAUUUUGCUGACAGCCCUUCUCUGAGGGCCCAUUUACAGGCCCUACAGAUUGUACAGAGAGACGUCUGGAGACCUUUGGCCGCUGCUUACCAGGACAGAGUCUCGGCUUAGAUCCACACACCACACGUCAAGGCAGUCCGGUCUGAGGAAUUGACUAAUCACAACACUACACCCCAGACAUAGAGAGUUCAGCACUCCAAACCCCUUAAAGUUAAAACUCCUACGUGGCUCCUCCUAGCCCUUUUGUGGCCUAGAGUCAGUGGGGGAAUAAGCCCCCACCAGACAGAAAUUUCUUGACCAAGUCGAGUGAAAGAUUUCACUCAAAGUUAACAAAAAAAAAAAUGGGGGAAUGAAAGACCCCAGCUUAGCAGCAGUAACGCCAUUUUACAAGGCUGUACUUAAGAUGACUGGUUCAGGGAAAGGUUAGAACACUGAGUACACAGCGGCUGCCAAGCAGGAUGUGUUUGGUUGAAGGCCUGGCAACAGGACGACUGCAGUUGAGCACCUGACAAUGAGAAAAGCCCCGGGAGAGGUCCCACACCCUGGUGGGGGGCCGAGUCAGUUAUGUUCCAAGAAGGUAGCUAAGAAACUUGCCCCCGGGCUGAACCCUUGGGGGGCCGAGUCAGCCGUUAUGUUUCAGGAAGGUAGCUAGGAAACUUGCCCCCGGGCUAAACCCUUGCCAUAUUAGAAUCCACCAAUUAUAUCCCUGUAACCAUGCAUCUGCUUCUGUAUGCUUGCUUCUGCUCCCCAAAAUCCUAUAAAAGCCCAUCCUUGGUUCCGUGGGGCGCGCCAGUCCCCCGAGUGACUGUAGCGCCCGCAGGUGCCUGUGCCUGUGUAUCCCGACAAUAAACCAAAUCCUCUUGCUGAUUGCA